rnacentral:rRNA from 1 species
GGAAUACGCUCUGGAAACGGAGAACAAAUCCCGAUGUACAGGAAGGAGGCAUCUUCUUUCUGUGAAACAUCCUUUAGGGGAUGAGGCGCGGAUGGACCUGCGGUGCAUUAGUUGGUUGGCGGGGUAAAGGCCCACCAAGACGAUGAUGCAUAGCCGGCCUGAGAGGGCGGACGGCCACAUUGGGACUGAGACACGGCCCAGACUCCUGCGGGAGGCAGCAGUAGGGAAUUUUCGUCAAUGGGCGCAAGCCUGAACGAGCGAUGCCGCGUGAGUGAAGAAGGCCUUCGGGUCGUAAAGCUCUGUUGCGGGGGAAAAAAGGCAGCAUCAGGAAAUGGGUGCUGACUGAUGGUGCCCCGCCAGAAAGUCACGGCUAACUACGUGCCAGCAGCCGCGGUAAUACGUAGGUGGCGAGCGUUAUCCGGAAUGAUUGGGCGUAAAGGGUGCGCAGGCGGUCCUGCAAGUCUGGAGUGAAACGCAUGAGCUCAACUCAUGCAUGGCUUUGGAAACUGGAGGACUGGAGAGCAGGAGAGGGCGGUGGAACUCCAUGUGUAGCGGUAAAAUGCGUAGAUAUAUGGAAGAACACCAGUGGCGAAGGCGGCCGCCUGGCCUGUUGCUGACGCUGAGGCACGAAAGCGUGGGGAGCAAAUAGGAUUAGAUACCCUAGUAGUCCACGCCGUAAACGAUGAGGACCAAGUGUU